rnacentral:pre_miRNA from 1 species
UUGAUUUACGAGGGCGACUAUUUGUAUAGCCGCCCUCGUAAAUCAAAACAUUUUGAUUUACAAGGGCGACUGUACAAAUAGUCGCCCUUGUAAAUCCAAAU